GACGAACGCUGGCGGCGUGCUUAACACAUGCAAGUCGAACGCUGAAGCUCAGCUUUUGUUGGGUGGAUGAGUGGCGAACGGGUGAGUAACACGUGAGUAACCUGCCCCCUUCUUUGGGAUAACGCCCGGAAACGGGUGCUAAUACUGGAUAUUCACUGGUCUUCGCAUGGGGGUUGGUGGAAAGGGUUUUUCUGGUGGGGGAUGGGCUCGCGGCCUAUCAGCUUGUUGGUGGGGUGAUGGCCUACCAAGGCUUUGACGGGUAGCCGGCCUGAGAGGGUGACCGGUAACAUUGGGACUGAGCUACGGCCCAGACUCCUACGGGAGGCAGCAGUGGGGAAUAUUGCACAAUGGGCGCAAGCCUGAUGCAGCGACGCCGCGUGAGGGAUGGAGGCCUUCGGGUUGUGAACCUCUGUCGCUCAUGGUCAAGCCGCAACAAUGGUUGUGGUGAGGGUAGUGGGUAAAGAAGCGCCGGCUAACUACGUG
rnacentral:rRNA from 1 species